CUCAUCAUAGCACAUAUGGUGUUGUUAAUAAUCAAAGACCUUGUUUAUUUGUUUCCUUCGAGCUGAUCCAUUUGUUGUUAAGCUUUUACACUGGAUACACCAAUCUAAGAUGGACAACAUAAAAUGUAGAAUUGCUUCUGUAGUUUUGAUCUCGAUCGUGAGCAACGCAUGGUGCCAUUGUACUUGUACCACAACCCCUCAGACAUAUGAAUAUAUCAGUUUAGAUAGAGGGCGCCAGAUAUCCAGAAUACUUCACCACAGCGUUUGUAUGGCUGUCAUAGAACCUGUCGUCAUGGGAACGCCAUUUGACCUGAGGUCAGAUUUUACAGUAGAACCUUGUUGCUGCAAAGCUUUCUGGAGACAUGUGCCAUCGUUGGGUAGAGGAAAUGUGCUUUAUGUAAAGACAGUUUAUCAUUGCGAAACUAUCAACUGUUCCAAUCACGAAUGAAAUAAAACUGAUUUUAUAUAUAGGUCCGAUUACAGAGUUGUUAAAAGCACCAUGAGUUCACGAUGAAAGACAUUUGCUUGUUUUCUUUGUAUAUGGAUCGUGCCGUACAUCGAAAUAAGAUCUUUCGAAGAUGGCCAUACACGUAUUUUCAUAAGAAAAUUAUUAUUUGCAAAAAGUUUCCUUUGACAUGAGAAUAUGAUACAAAUAUCCAAAGAUAAUUUGUAUCUUUUAAACUAAAACUGAUAAACGACUAUGGAUAAUACAGUUUACAAACAAUGAAUGCAAAAUAAGUAUAACUAACAUAUUAGGUAGAUUUUUUCAAAUUAAACUGCGUUUAAAAUCA